CUAUAAGUUGCAGUGCCGGCGAUUUGGAAACCUGUACCCCUGCUACAACACAAACAGGUCUUUUUAUCCCUCCAGAGAAGAUGAGAGCAACUUUGUUUAUUAGUCUCAUGUGCUCCUAUGCCCUGGUUUUGGCUAAAAAAGAGGAUGAGCUAGAGCUGGUAAGCUACAAUUCUAAACCAUGUCAGAGGACCUUUAACACUAUUGCCUACCAAGCUUUUCGAGACAAACACAUAAUUCAGAUGUCCUUUAACGCCUUAUCAAAGCCUGGUUGGAAAAAUUAUUUGCAGCAAAUGAGACUCUGUAACCGACCUAUACAGUCCUUUGUGGAGAUAAGCGAUGAAACCCGUAUUCUACAGAUCUGCAAUGGCUUUGGCUGGUGGCAGACAGGCAAUUUAUGCACAAGUAACACAUCAUUUUUGCUUUAUGGUUUAAGAGUAUCCAUCAGCAAUUGUAGCGUUAAGUUGCUGACCAUAAGUUAUCAAUAUGUAACUGUGGCUUGUGAUAAGAUAAACAGUAAAUGCGUUCCUGUACACUUUCAGGGAAAUCAAACCAUACCGGCAUAUAAUCAAUCACAACGCUGCAAACCUUAAAUACUAAAGCACUGAAAUCUUUUAUUAUCAGAUUUUAAAAAUAUGUUUUUCUCUUUCCAAAUAUUAAAACUUCCAGCUUUGAGAAAUGUAUUAUCCAUCACUAAAUUGGCUAUGUAUAUACAUGUGUGAUAUGGUACUGCGGAAACCUUCUGUUUGUAUUGAUUAUCUUAUUUAAAAACUAAUCAUAUCUUUUUGGAGCUUAGAAGUUUGUUUCUUAUCUAUUUGUAACUUCGACCGAUUUUUUUUUUUAGACACUGUGAGAACUAAACGAAAACGGAGCCUCUAACAGAAGUUAAAAAAUGUAAUUUUUGUUUGCAUGAUGAUAAGAAAAAUCUGAUUGAUGUAUUUUCUGUGUGGAGAAAUCUUAUUUUUAAAAUGUAAACUUUUUUGCCCUUUGUUAAAAAUAAAAUAAAGCCUUA